UUCUGUUUACACUCCAUAAUGAAUCUUUGAUCAGUGCCCCUCCAUAUAUCUGCUGCCCUCCUCCCAUUAUUAUUUAUCUUUAUUUUAUUUAUUGCCAUUGCAACUGGCAAUCUCAAGGAUAUGAGGUGUUUAAUGUCUUGCUCAUUACUGCAAAACAAAUGCAGGUUUGUGUGAAUCACCAUCAUUAGCAGAAACGAGAGCACUCCUAAUUGCAAACAAUUACUCAACAAGUGUUGCUCUUCCCCAAGAAACCUAUUAAAUACUCACAGUGGAGCACCUGGCAGCCUGCUGAGACUUCAGUUUCCUAUGCAAAUGGAAACUGCCAUGGAAUUCAGUGACUUCUAUUCAGUUGUUUUAGAUAGGCCGCCCAAUAGCUUGGAGAAACAUCUUCCAGGAAGACAUCCAGUCCUGAACUGAAGAUGCCAUGAGAAGGAAAAGCCACCACUUUACUCCAACAAUCUGUUUCAAGGGCUUCUCAGAUCUACUGUCAAAUUGUGCACUUGAUUUCUCAGAUGACUCUGCCUUGCCUCAGCCUCCAGCCAUUGGUUUUAAUUAUGCCUCUCUCUACUAGAUUAAAGAGUCUUUAGUAUCCUAUGAUAUCUCUCCUGGCAUUACUUUUACAGUGAGAUCAAACCACCUCUGACAUUCUUAAUACAAUGAGCAGAAUGA